UCUUGGCGCUCACUCAAUAGGCGGGUUUGUUGAAAGCUUUUCAGCUUCACAUUUCUGUCGCUUUUGCAUUGGCGAAAGGUCACAGAUCCAGGAGCAUGAAGUAGGAGAAGGACUGUUUCCUCUACGGACUAAGUCCAACUAUGCCAUCCAUGUCAAAGCAGCACUGUCUGAUCCUGCAGAAGCUCACCACUGUGGAGUUAAAAGACAGUGUCCAAUCUCAGACAGACUCAGUCACUUUCAUGCUACAUCAGGUUAUCCCCCAGAUGCUUUGCAUGAUUUGCUUGAAGGGAUUGUACCUGUUGAAAUUUCACUCUGUCUUGAUGUGUUAAUCAGGAAGAAAUACCAUCCGUUGCUUUCCUUACAAAUGGAGUGACAAAACAAACUGUCCACAACCCAUUGCCCCAAAUUUCACAGCACGAAAAAGUGUAGGAGGUAAUGCACACGAAAACUGGUGUUUGUUGAGAAUGAUACCACUCAUGAUUGGUGACAAAGUACCAGAAGAUGAGCCUGCUUGGGAGGUUUUGAUGACCCUGAAAGAUGUUGUUGAGCUUGUCAUGGCUCCUCUCCACACAGAUCACACAAUAGGAUACAUGCAAAGUAAGAUCUCAGAACACCGUUACAGAUAUUUAGAAGUGUUCCCAGAGGAGAAACUGAGACCAAAACAUCACUUUCUCGAGCACUAUCCUUUGCUUACAACUGUUUACGGGCCACUUGUACAUUUCUGGACUAUGCGAUUUGAAGCCAAACAUCGAUUCUUUAAAAGGAUUGUGAGGCAGACUGGGUGUUUUAGAAACAUCCUCAUGACAAUGGCAAGAAAACACCAAUCGAUGAUUGCGUAUCAUACCCACGAUUACAACCACCAAAGGCCAGCACUGUCAGUGUCCCAGAAGACUCAAGUGGCAGUCGAUGUUCUAAAAGACAGCAUUAAGGAGUCCUUUGCAAGGAAGUUCCCCAGGGAAGACUUUGUGAACAUGACAAAUAAAGCAACCAUUUUAGGCACAGACUAUAAUAUUGGCAUGAUGCUGCCGUUUGGCUCAACAGGAGGUCUACCUGACUUUGCAGAAAUCCAUCAAAUAAUCAUUGUGCACGGAACUCCUGUCUUUGUUCUGAAGUUGCUUAGAGGCUGGUACUGUGAACACCUGAGGAGUUUCAAAGUAGAGCCCACAGGAGGGACAGAAAUCCUUAAACAUUCUGAACUGAAAGAAACAUACCCCAUGGCUGCAUACAAUACAGCAGAUGGCCGUAUGGUGUCCCUUAAACACUUCAUUUGCACAUCAGACUGAGGAAACACAAACCAAACAACAAUGGCAAUCCAGUUAAGAGUCAUUUUAGAAGAACACAGCAUUCAAAAGUUGACACUUCCAACAGGAAUUCCUAAUACAGUGGAAGAUCUUGUUUCCAUAAUUACUGAAACUUUCCAGUUGCAUGGGGAAUUUGGACUGCUAUACCAAGACAAAGACUUUGACAAUCAGUUUUUCAGUGUCAUCUCAACUGCUGACUUGUAUGACAAGGCCACUGUUAAAGUGAUCCUUAAAGAGCCAGUAAUCACCCUUGACUUACAACCAGUAUGUGAAUCAGGAUCAUCGUCUACAUUGAACUCUUCGACUUCAGUGAGCACCCAUCCUGCAAGUACUACUGAAAUGGACAUCUGCCCUGCCAAUCAUGAUGCACCCUCACAGGUGUCCGACUGCGCAUCGUCAAGUUCCAGUGACACCAUUAUUCUCCCUGAUUCAUGUCGCCCUGCUGCAUGGCCAGUGCCGUCUCAAGUACCAGAGUUUUCCCGAGACAUACAACUAAUACUCGCUGAGGCAAACAACUCAUAUCACAACACUGGAAGACCUUUCAUGGAUGCCAGUGUUAAAUCAGCAAUAAUGCAAGACCUUGCAAAAGUAAUUUUUUCGUACACUGCUUACCCAACCAAUCGGCAGAUCCUCUCAGUGGCUGAAGCCUUGGUUUCAAAGUUUCCGUGUCUUAAGGAGCCAGGAUCAUUUGCCGGCUUAUAUGGCUGGCAGCAGCGCAUAAAAAACAAGAUGCACAAUUACCGUGCCAAGCUAAGAUCUCGAAAAUUUUCUUACCCGGAAAUUGAAAUUAAUGCCUUAAAAAGGAAGCAUCCAGCUGAUCCAGUGCCAUCAAAGAAUGUAAAAAAGCCAAAAAAAAGCAGAGGUUAAUUAUCUCCCUCCGCAUCCUACUGGAGAAACCCAAGAGACACUGGAGAAAGAGAGGCUUGAAUUAAUUUAUGAAAUAACAAAGAAAAACAAUGCAAAGAUAAUUGCAGAAAAAAUGAAUAAAACGUUCUCUAGCCGAAGAGUUGAAGUGGUCAGCCUCUGCCCCUCUGUGGGUGAGUUAAAAGAAAGGUGGCCACCAUUAUUCACUGAGGCUCAGGUGAGUAUGUGUGAUAACUAUUCCUAUCCACCAAAAAACAUUCAUGUUAUAACUAUGAGAUCUGGUCUGUCAUUUGAAAUGUCAUUUUUUUUGUCCCCUUACUUCUUAGCUCAUCGAAGAGUUCAGACGCAUCACCACAGUUUCUUUGGUGGAGACAUUCAUGCUGAAACUUGAUGAGUACACACCAGGUCUUUUGCAGCUUAUGCGUGCCAAAGGAGGAGCUGCUGGUUCCAAGAUGAGACCUCUGCUGGACACUUUGAAUGACGCACAGAGCAUUGAGAAGAAAAGGGAUGUCAUUAUCUGCUGCCUCAUUAGCUACCUCGGGGAAAGACAAGAAGAUCUUUUUCAUGACUGCCAGGAAUGUGAGGAUUACACAGACAAUAUGAUGAAGGUGAUCGUGAUCCACAACAUCAUGGCUGAGGAGGAUCCAUCAGAUGUGUCCAUUGUGAUUGAGGGAAACCAAGUGAUGGAGGGAUGUGGAAGCCAAACAAAGGCAUGUGUACUGCUGAUGGGACUGAUAUAUGCCCUCAACCUCGAAUAUCCGAAGGAGCUGAAGAACACAUUUGACACUUUUCAAAAACUGUUUUUGGAACUUGACGGGGCCAAACUACUGAAAAGGGUCCACGGCCUCAAAAAUAAGCUUAUGCAAUGCACACACUUUCCCCCUCUUGUUCCCAGAGGACAUAGCUUGAUGGAGCUGUAAUUUUUCUUCUGACAACAAGCACAGAAACUAUUGAAUGUUGGUGUUAGUGUUCUGUUCUAUCUAUCCAUAUGUUUGAUAACAUACAUGCACAGAAACAACCUUGUAGAGUUUCUGUAUGUGCUGUUAGCUUUUAAAAUGAGCCUUUGAAAGUGUUGUCUGCAUUAGCCGUUGUGUUGCACUUUAUUCUGUAUUU